rnacentral:rRNA from 1 species
GUGCCAGCCGCUGCGGUAAUACGUAGGGUGCAAGCGUUGUCCGGAAUUAUUGGGCGUAAAGAGCUCGUAGGCGGUUUGUUGCGUCGGCUGUGAAAACCUGAGGCUCAACCUCAGGCCUGCAGUCGAUACGAGCAGACUAGAGUGUUGCAGGGGAGACUGGAAUUCCUGGUGUAGCGGUGAAAUGCGCAGAUAUCAGGAGGAACACCGGUGGCGAAGGCGGGUCUCUGGGCAACAACUGACGCUGAGAGCGAAAGCGUGGGAGCGAACAGGAUUAGAUACCUGGUAGUCCACGCCGUAACGUGGCGCUAGGUGUGGGCUCAUUCCAC